rnacentral:rRNA from 1 species
UUGAACGCUGGCGGCAUGCCUUACACAUGCAAGUCGAACGGCAGCACGGGGGCAACCCUGGUGGCGAGUGGCGAACGGGUGAGUAAUAUAUCGGAACGUGCCCUGGAGUGGGGGAUAACUAGUCGAAAGACUAGCUAAUACCGCAUACGAUCUACGGAUGAAAGUGGGGGAUCGCAAGACCUCAUGCUCGUGGAGCGGCCGAUAUCUGAUUAGCUAGUUGGUGGGGUAAAAGCCUACCAAGGCAUCGAUCAGUAGCUGGUCUGAGAGGACGACCAGCCACACUGGGACUGAGACACGGCCCAGACUCCUACGGGAGGCAGCAGUGGGGAAUUUUGGACAAUGGGGGCAACCCUGAUCCAGCAAUGCCGCGUGAGUGAAGAAGGCCUUCGGGUUGUAAAGCUCUUUUGUCAGGGAAGAAACGGUCCGGGCUAAUAUCCUGGGCUAAUGACGGUACCUGAAGAAUAAGCACCGGCUAACUACGU